GGGUAGCCGGACUGAGAGGUCGACCGGCCACAUUGGGACUGAGAUACGGCCCAGACUCCUACGGGAGGCAGCAGUGGGGAAUUUUGCGCAAUGGGGGCAACCCUGACGCAGCAACGCCGCGUGCGGGACGAAGGCCCUCGGGUUGUAAACCGCUUUCAGCAGGGAAGACUUUGACGGUACCUGCAGAAGAAGCUCCGGCUAACUACGUGCCAGCAGCCGCGGUAAUACGUAGGGGGCGAGCGUUAUCCGGAUUCAUUGGGCGUAAAGCGCGCGUAGGCGGCCGCCUAAGCGGAACCUCUAAUCCCGGGGCUCAACCUCGGGCCGGGUUCCGGACUGGGCGGCUCGAGUGCGGUAGAGGCAGGCGGAAUUCCCGGUGUAGCGGUGGAAUGCGCAGAUAUCGGGAAGAACACCGAUGGCGAAGGCAGCCUGCUGGGCCGCCACUGACGCUGAGGCGCGAAAGCUGGGGGAGCGAACAGGAUUAGAUACCCUGGUAGUCCCAGCCGUAAACGAUGGGCGCUAGGUGUGGGGGGACAGUCCCCCCGUGCCGCAGCCAACGCAUUAAGCGCCCCGCCUGGGGA
rnacentral:rRNA from 1 species